rnacentral:rRNA from 1 species
AGCAGCCGCGGUAAUUCCAGCUCCAAUAGCGUAUAUUAAAGUUGUUGCAGUUAAAAAGCUCGUAGUUGAAUUUCGGGAUCAAUGUUUCGGUCAUGCCGUUGGUAUGUACUGAUAUUAUUGAUUUCUCACCUUCUAAAGAACCGUAAUGCCAUUAAUUUGGUGUCACGGGGAAUUAGGACUGUUACCUUGAAAAAAUUAGAGUGUUUAAAGCAGGCUCACGCUUGAAUACAUUAGCAUGGAAUAAUGAAAUAGGACAUCCGAUUCUAUUUUGUUGGUUUCUAGGAUCGAUGUAAUGAUUAAUAGGGAUAGUUGGGGGCAUUAGUAUUCAAUUGUCAGAGGUGAAAUUCUUGGAUUUAUUGAAGACUAACUACUGCGAAAGCAUUUGCCAAGGAUGUUUUCAUUAAUCAAGAACGAAAGUUAGGGGAUCGAAGACGAUCAGAUACCGUCGUAGUCUUAACCAUAAACUAUGCCGACUAGGGAUCGGAUGAUGUUAAAUUUUUAAUGACUCA